rnacentral:rRNA from 1 species
AGUGAACGCUGGCGGUAGGCCUAACACAUGCAAGUCGAACGGCAGCACAGUAAGAGCUUGCUCUUACGGGUGGCGAGUGGCGGACGGGUGAGGAAUACAUCGGAAUCUACUUUUUCGUGGGGGAUAACGUAGGGAAACUUACGCUAAUACCGCAUACGACCUACGGGUGAAAGCAGGGGAUCUUCGUACCUUGCGCGAUUGAAUGAGCCGAUGUCGGAUUAGCUAGUUGGCGGGGUAAAGGCCCACCAAGGCGACGAUCCGUAGCUGGUCUGAGAGGAUGAGCAGCCACACUGGAACUGAGACACGGUCCAGACUCCUACGGGAGGCAGCAGUGGGGAAUAUUGGACAAUGGGCGCAAGCCUGAUCCAGCCAUACCGCGUGGGUGAAGAAGGCCUUCGGGUUGUAAAGCCCUUUUGUUGGGAAAGAAAAGCAGCAGGUUAAUACCCCGCUGUUCUGACGGUACCCAAAGAAUAAGCACCGGCUAACUUCGUG